CUGUGCACGUGCGAGCGCUGUCGGAGCGUCUGUCCGCUCGUGACGGGCGUGCUGGCGGUUGACGGCACCGGAAGACACGUCACAGGGUGCGCGGGGCGCUCGAGGUCCGAGGCAGAACGGGAGGGGAGGAGCGGCUCCGUUUGCGCGGGCGCUGCGCUCAUCCAGCCCCGCGAAAGGAGGUGGCUCGGGAGCGCAGACGAGCGGCAGUGUUGGUGGAAACGCCGCGCCUGCCCAGCUUGGCAGAACACAGAUGUUACGGUUUCGGGCAAGGCGGCAGUAAACCGUGGCAGACGUUCCCUGUUAUCCAAGACGAUAAGAAAGGCCAGUUCAGUUGGAAGUGACCUACAGUGAUCAUCGAGUCCACCUGCCCGACCACUUCAGGGCUGACCAAAAGUUAAAGCAUCAAGGUGUUUACAAAAAUGGGGUUCCUGCUCCAAGGCAGCACGAGGGACGACUGUGGAGAAUAGAAAGAGCAGUAAAAGCACUUAGAGAAAACAGACUGACACAGAGAACAAGGUAAUAGGAAAGAGGAGGCUGGAGAACACAGGUAAACCAAAGGGAAACAAACAAACAAAACUCACCUUGUUUAUCUGUGCUUAAUGAAAACUAAUAAUUUUUGCCAUUAAAACACCCAAUUUUAAAAAUAAA